GACCUUUGAAAAACUUUCUGUUCCAAAUUUUUCUCCUCCUUCUUCACACCCCCUCUCCUAGAUGGCAAGUAUCUCCCUAGUCUUACAUCAAAAUUUAUUAUUCCUGCUAAUGGUGCCAUCGAUGUCCUGGUUACCUAGGCUUGAAAUCUUGUCCUUCCCAAGCUUUUUCACCUUUACAAGUCCUGUCUAGUCUUCCUUAGUAAUUUCUCUUUUCCAUCCCCAACUUGUAUUAUCUGAGUUGAUAAUUUUAGCACUGAGUCCAGUUCAGCCUCCUCUUAUUUUACAGAUGGGGGAAGUGAGGUCCAGAGAGCAACAUACAGGUAGUAAGUAUGGAGAAAUUAGGUAGAAGAUGUGUCUCUGAACUGCUCGAACAUAUAGAAUAGUUCCCAGUUACUUGCAAGAUCAAGCCUAAGGCAUUCUAAUUUCUCUAUGAUUCCAAAUCUCUUUCCAAUCUUGUUUCUUACUGGUUAUAUACCCACCAGCAUAGUCCUCUACAGGAUAUAGGACUCUUGUCAACUUUAGCCUUAUUUUGGACUCACCUUCUCAGAUAAUACGAAACCUAAGAUUCUAUAGAGAAAAAAAAAGGAGGAAAGAGCAAUUGGGGUUAAGUGAAUUUCUUAGGAUCAUGCAGCUAGUAUCUGAGGCUGGGUUAGAACUUGACUCCUGAUUCCAGCACUGGUACUCUAAGCCCUAUAGAAAAUUUUGCCAAAAGAAAAUAAUUGUUGGCACUUGAGUUUUAAGAACAGUUUGUAUACGUUGUCUCAUUUGAUCCUCUUCAUGCCACAGUGACAUCCAUUUUAUAAAUGAGGAAAUUGAGAUCGUAGGUAACUUGUCCAUAGUUAAGUGUACAGACCUAGGACUCUUGACUAAUUAGUCUAAUACUGUCCACUAGACCACACUGCCUCUCACUGUCAUAUUGCCUGGUUGCAUCUAGUAGAACUCUGCGGGCCUGCAAGCAGACAGGGGAGAUGGGCUUGUGUAAGGUUCUCAGUCCUGCAGAUGAGAAAAAAGAUUCUGUGAGGGGUCCCCCAACCAACCUGUCCCAUCCGUCUUUGUCACCAGGUUAAGUGGAAAGAGCAUUAGAGAGAAGACCAGCUUUUUGGUCCUGAUUCCAAUACUGACUGCCUCAGUUUCCUCACUUGUAAAUUGGACUGAAGCCUCUCAGUGCUACUUACUCACAGGGCUCUUGUAAGGAAACCUCUGUAAACCCCUAAGGCAUUUCAUACAUAUAUAUGUGGUGUGUGUAUGCGUGUGUGUGUGUGUGUGUGUGUGAAGGGUGGUUGGAGCAGCAUUUAAGCACGAGGCAGUGACUGGGGCACUCACAAAGGCAGGACACAGAGGAUUAGGGAGAGUUCAUCAGUUCUCUGUAAGUCCCAAUGAGAGCCCAAUUAAUUUUCCUCAAAAAUCUCUCCUCCCAAAGUGUUGGUACGGACUGUCUGGUUCCUGAAGCCCUGGGGAUGGAAGGAGUCCAGAGCCCUUCCCUGUCAUUUCUGGGGCUUUCAGGAAUUGACAAACAGCCGUUGGUAAUUGUGGGAAGGGAGGGAGGUGCGCUGAUGGGGGACACUGGCUUCUUUCUUUCAUCCCCCCUGGAAGAUUACUCGCUGUACAUGAGCCCUGCGAGGAAGCUUUCAGCCUCUUGUCCUGUACUCCAUCGACAUGAAAAUUAGCUUCUCUGGGGUCAUAUGGAGGAAAGGCCUGGACCUUGAGUCUCAGGGUCAGAAAGCACAAGAGCCCAGUAUCUACCUCAGAGAAGAAAACGCCAGUUCUUGAGGUUUAGACAUGAAACCUGCCAAAUAGUAUUUUUUCCCUAGAUCUUCACAUUCCCUCCCCCAAAUGUCAGGAGUAUUUCUUGGGUUAGAAAUCCUCUGGGGAAUUUUCCUGUAGCCCUAUUGGCCAGUCCUUGAGCAGGGGGCACCUUGCAGACCUCCAUCUUGGGCAGUGGGCUUUCGUAGGAAUCACUCGUGUCACCUUCAGGGAACAAACCAGCAUCUUGGGGAGGCUCAUCAGAGUCCCUGCGUUUAUUUUGUGUUUGGUUGAGAUGUCAGAGCUUGAGUCCUUGGUCUCUGUUGGACCAGGACUGAGUUCAUGGUCAGUUUCUUGGGAAACUAGCCUUGAGCCCCCAUUUUCCUUCUUUAUUCAAAUUUGGAGCAAGAUUCCACUCAGUCAUUCCUCUAUUUCUUUCAUGAUGUAAAGGGUUCUCAAUACACUGUCUUUUUUGUGUAUUGUCGAUAAAUAUUAGCUACCUACUUUGUGCAAGGGCAAGGUGCUGGAAUUACAGGAUUCUAGAUCUUUCAAGAGCUGGCUGUUCUGGACAAAAUUUUAUUUUUAUUUCCCUUUAUCCAUCAAUCUAGUUAUCCCAGAAAUGGGAGAGGAUGGGCUGCCUACUGCCCCUGAAUCCUGGCCAAACCAUUACCCAGACAGCUGGGGCCUUCCAUUUCUCUCCAUUGCUUCCCAGAGUUAUCAGAUGAGGGUAGUUCAUUUGUGGCAUGAACAGGCAUCUUCUGCUUGGGGACUCAGGAAGAGAGCCAGAUUAGGUUUUAUUUAGCUUGUUAGAAUCUUCUUUCACUAUCCCCCUUCUACACACAUACCAUGCCCUGUGAGUGAAAAUUAGAACCAGAUUUCUUAUCUUCUUGUCCCAUGGAUCAUCCUGAAGGAUCUAUGCAAAAUUUCAUCUAGAAUUUGGAGAGGAAGAAGAGAAUGUGCAGAAUUGUGAAAUUUGGCUAAAAUGACAUUCACUACAAAAAGUUAGGAAAAUGCAGUAUAAUUUUAAUAAGCUAUGCACAAGGCAUCAAGGGUACAAAGUCAAGAAUAAAUGAUCCCUGUCCUCAAGAAGUUCAUAAGUAUAGUCGAUCAUAUUCUAGAUACUCUCCUAUUUCUUCACUGUCUCCAUGGCAUUGUUAAAAAAUAUAUAUAAGGGGAGUAAUCAGGAAACCUUUGCUUUGCUGUAUCAGGACAAUCUUUUGCAGAACUGGAUUGCUUUCUGGUCUUCGCUAAGGAUUCCCCAGCUCAUUCUCUUUCUACAAAAAUGUUUAUGAGGAGUGUUUUUAAUUCUAAGACUGGUCUGUGUAGCAUCAUAUGAGCAUCUUUGCAUUUCAGAAAGCACUACAAUCCAACAGACCAGUUACUACAAGGAGACAGAAAUGUCUCCCUUUGAGGCCCCUGUGCUUCAGAUGGCCAAUCAGGAACCAAACAGAGUAGCUAAGAAUUAUGUGUCCAGGCCCAUUGCUCUGCCUUUAGCUAUUGGUCCUCAGAUGGGUUGUGAACGGUCAGUCCAGGGCUCAGCCACAUAAACCUAAGCUGCUUUUCUCCUUUUCUUUCCUUGCAGGGAUGCAGGAUUCUCUCCUCUCAGAGGGCUCAUCAGAAUGCCCAUGAUGGAUGCUGAGCCACAGAAACAUUGUUGGAGAACCUAGAACCUCCCUGGCAGGAAUAUUGGGGCCGACGGGGUGAGUGAUUUCAUCAGGGUCACGCAGUGGGUCAAGGCUGGGCGCCUGCCCCUUGGCUUCUCAAGGCCCCACCCCCAGACACCGCGGCCGCUCUCCCCCAGCAUGGGCUUGGCCAGUGAGAACUUUGCCCCUGAUGGGGCAGAAAAGCAUCUGCCAAGCCAUUGGUGAAUCCUGCCCCUCAGGCCAUGGAGUGACCCGGCUGGGCUAGCCCAGAGGGCUGUGGAUUGGCCACUGAUAGAAGAGGGCACAGGUGCUGAGGGAUUCUCACUCCAGCAGGUAGGGCUGGCAGCCUGGGGAGGCCUCUGACCAUCACCCUGACAUUUUGGGGGGUAUCCUAGAGGUCACUGGCGAUGAAGGGCAGGACGGGUCAUGAGUGGGUGCUUCGGGGUAUAGGCUCGGGAUUUAUUUCCUCUGGGGCAAAGGUAGGUCAGGCUGAACUCGACUUGAGCCUUGAAUUGUUUCAUUCCUAGGAUUCCCAUUCCUGACAAACUGGCUGCCCACUCAGGCCAGGAAGGCUGACGUCAGUGUGGCUGGGGAAGGGUCACAGGGACACGGGAGGGGCAGGACAGCCAUGGGAACUUUUUAUGGAGAGAGGAGUAACUUAUCUGAAAUAUAGAACAAGGGGAAAUGGACCUGAGUUACAGCCUGUGAAAUUUGUGCUGGCUGAAAGGAAGGACUCCUCAAUGAGGAGGGAUUGGGGGGCUUCCAGACUGAGAUACCCUGGGGAACCUCCUGAAGAGAAUCCCCCUCUUGGCUAGGGAAGGAUAACUCUUCUUGGUGGAGAUGGUGAGAAGUCUUUCAGGCAGCAAAGGGCCCCAAAUAAGGUCCCUGGAACUAGGGGGAAGGUUGCAUGAGUACAGCAAGGGUCUUAAAAAGUAUAGCAUAGAGAGAUAUAAAGGACCUUAGCGAUCAGUUAAUCUGCUUCCCCUCCAUUUUACAGAUCAACAAACUGAGGCCCCAAGGUAUUAAAAUCCACUGGAAGUCAUCAUUAAGGAGCCCAGCACUGUGUUUUGCAUAUAAUAGCCCCUGAAUAAAUGCUUAUUGGAUUGGAAUGAACUGAUUAAAUCAGCGAUCUUUGAAUUCCUGAAGUAAAUUUCUCCAGAAACCAUCUGUCAGCCUGUGUUAGAGACAUUUAUCAGGUAAUGAUCAUAACCUGUGAGUUUCUCUCCUAAGCACAGUGUUAAACUUGGGAGGAAUUGUAUUGGGCUGGGUGGGCUUCGGAAUCGUAUUCUGGUUACCCACUUUGGCCACAGACUAGCUGCAUGAGCUUGGCUUAGUCCCUUUCUACCCUUAGGGUUGGGUUUUCCUAUUUGCGGAGCAAGAGAUUAGACUAAAUUCUCUCCGAGUGAGCCCCUUCCAGCUCAGACAUUCUGUGCUUCUCUGACCAUCUGGGCAGGUUAGAACUGGUUUUAUUUCUUGGCUGGGGGAGCCAAGUGGUAAUAUUAUUUCCUUCUAGUGUUUUUGCCUUUUUCCUACUCAGCCGAGUUGCAUAGUUGCUUUGAGGCAAAGUUAAGAUGCAUUUAGCUUUGCAAAUUUGAAACUGGAGGGGUUGGCUGGGUUUCCUCCCCAGUAGAAUCUCACCACUGAGAAAUGGUGCUCCUUCCUGGAGCUCCUGAAAACAUGGAGUUAACCCAAGUUGCUCCCAUUAGAAAAAGAUUGAGUUCAGUUGGGUGUUUAUUUAUUAAAUGCCUAUUUAGAAUGUUAUAGUGGAGUCCUUUGAGAUAUGCUUCUUCUCUUAAGUAAGGUAAGUGAUGCUGUGAAUCUCCUCCAAUGUACUUUCAAGUUGGGGGUUGCUGUAGUUAGCAACAAAUGUCUGAUCUUAGCUUGAGGAGCUGGUUAAUGUGUCACAGGAAGGGGAAAUACUCCUUGUGUAGCAGGGGCUGGUGGGGGGAAUGAAUGCACCACUUAAAACAUCACCAUUAUAUCUUUGAGAGUGCUUCCAUUUAUUAAACUACACACCUGAAAGGGGUGUUUUCUUUUUUUAAUUACCUUUUAGUUUAAUUAGAUUUUCUUACACUAAUUUUUUUGGAGUUCCAAAUUCUCUCCCUCUCCUGCCUAUUGAGCAGGCAAGCAAUAAGGUACUGAAGAGAAUAAAGUCUUGUACUUUUAUUUUCCCUGAAGAAGGAACAGUAUACUCAGAUUUCAUGUAGGGGGCACAAGCUCUGAAGUUUUCGGGCCUCUGGUGGAUUUUGCUUUUCUGAACUUUUUAAGUAUAGAUUCAUAGAAUCAUAGAUCUAGAUCUUGGAAGGGACCUUGGAGUU